rfam:Acidiphilium cryptum JF-5, complete genome.
UCUGUUUGCUUUCUUGGACGUUUCCUCCCUAAACUUGGCGGCACGCAAGUGCCGCCAUUUUUUUUGAUCCAU